rnacentral:rRNA from 1 species
AUACGGAGGGUGCAAACGUUGUUCGGAAUUACUGGGCGUAAAGCGCGCGUAGGCGAUUUGUUAAGUCAGAUGUGAAAGUCCACAGCUCAACUGUGGAAGUGCAUUUGAAACUGGCAGACUUGAGUACUGGAGGGGGUGGUGGAAUUCCCGGUGUAGAGGUGAAAUUCGUAGAUAUCGGGAGGAAUACCGGUGGCGAAGGCGACCACCUGGCCAGAUACUGACGCUGAGGUGCGAAAGCGUGGGGAGCAAACAGGAUUAGAUACCCUAGUAGUCC